rnacentral:rRNA from 1 species
UUUAUGGAGAGUUUGAUCCUGGCUCAGGAUGAACGCUGGCGGCGUGCCUAAUACAUGCAAGUCGAGCGAACGGACGAGAAGCUUGCUUCUCUGAUGUUAGCGGCGGACGGGUGAGUAACACGUGGAUAACCUACCUAUAAGACUGGGAUAACUUCGGGAAACCGGAGCUAAUACCGGAUAAUAUUUUGAACCGCAUGGUUCAAAAGUGAAAGACGGUCUUGCUGUCACUUAUAGAUGGAUCCGCGCUGCAUUAGCUAGUUGGUAAGGUAACGGCUUACCAAGGCAACGAUGCAUAGCCGACCUGAGAGGGUGAUCGGCCACACUGGAACUGAGACACGGUCCAGACUCCUACGGGAGGCAGCAGUAGGGAAUCUUCCGCAAUGGGCGAAAGCCUGACGGAGCAACGCCGCGUGAGUGAUGAAGGUCUUCGGAUCGUAAAACUCUGUUAUUAGGGAAGAACAUAUGUGUAAGUAACUGUGCGCAUCUUGACGGUACCUAAUCAGAAAGCCACGGCUAACUACGUGCCAGCAGCCGCGGUAAUACGUAGGUGGCAAGCGUUAUCCGGAAUUAUUGGGCGUAAAGCGCGCGUAGGCGGUUUUUUAAGUCUGAUGUGAAAGCCCACGGCUCAACCGUGGAGGGUCAUUGGAAACUGGAAAACUUGAGUGCAGAAGAGGAAAGUGGAAUUCCAUGUGUAGCGGUGAAAUGCGCAGAGAUAUGGAGGAACACCAGUGGCGAAGGCGACUUUCUGGUCUGUAACUGACGCUGAUGUGCGAAAGCGUGGGGAUCAAACAGGAUUAGAUACCCUGGUAGUCCACGCCGUAAACGAUGAGUGCUAAGUGUUAGGGGGUUUCCGCCCCUUAGUGCUGCAGCUAACGCAUUAAGCACUCCGCCUGGGGAGUACGACCGCAAGGUUGAAACUCAAAGGAAUUGACGGGGACCCGCACAAGCGGUGGAGCAUGUGGUUUAAUUCGAAGCAACGCGAAGAACCUUACCAAAUCUUGACAUCCUUUGACAACUCUAGAGAUAGAGCCUUCCCCUUCGGGGGACAAAGUGACAGGUGGUGCAUGGUUGUCGUCAGCUCGUGUCGUGAGAUGUUGGGUUAAGUCCCGCAACGAGCGCAACCCUUAAGCUUAGUUGCCAUCAUUAAGUUGGGCACUCUAAGUUGACUGCCGGUGACAAACCGGAGGAAGGUGGGGAUGACGUCAAAUCAUCAUGCCCCUUAUGAUUUGGGCUACACACGUGCUACAAUGGACAAUACAAAGGGCAGCGAAACCGCGAGGUCAAGCAAAUCCCAUAAAGUUGUUCUCAGUUCGGAUUGUAGUCUGCAACUCGACUACAUGAAGCUGGAAUCGCUAGUAAUCGUAGAUCAGCAUGCUACGGUGAAUACGUUCCCGGGUCUUGUACACACCGCCCGUCACACCACGAGAGUUUGUAACACCCGAAGCCGGUGGAGUAACCUUUUAGGAGCUAGCCGUCGAAGGUGGGACAAAUGAUUGGGGUGAAGUCGUAACAAGGUAGCCGUAUCGGAAGGUGCGGCUGGAUCACCUCCUUU